GACGAACGCUGGCGGCGUGCUUAACACAUGCAAGUCGAACGGGGUCCUGGUCGGUGGCAACACCCUCCAGUACCUAGUGGCGAACGGGUGAGGAACACGUGAGCAACCCACCCCGAACUCUGGGAUAACAGCGGGAAACCGCUGCUAAUACCGGAUACCUUCCUGCGGUCGCAUGGCCGUGCGAAGAAAGGUUUACCGGUUCGGGACGGGCUCGCGGCCUAUCAGCUUGUUGGUGGGGUAACGGCCUACCAAGGCUUCGACGGGUAGCUGGUCUGAGAGGAUGAUCAGCCACACUGGGACUGAGACACGGCCCAGACUCCUACGGGAGGCAG
rnacentral:rRNA from 1 species